GAUGAACGCUGGCGGCGUGCCUAAUACAUGCAAGUCGAACGAAACUUCUUUAUCACCGAGUGCUUGCACUCACCGAUAAAGAGUUGAGUGGCGAACGGGUGAGUAACACGUGGGCAACCUGCCCAAAAGAGGGGGAUAACACUUGGAAACAGGUGCUAAUACCGCAUAACCAUAGUUACCGCAUGGUAACUAUGUAAAAGGUGGCUAUACUACCGCUUUUGGAUGGGCCCGCGGCGCAUUAGCUAGUUGGUAGGGUAAAGGCUUACCAAGGCAAUGAUGCGUAGCCGAAUUGAGAGGUUGAUCGGCCACAUUGGGACUGAGACACGGCCCAAACUCCUAUGGGAGGCAGCAGUAGGGAAUCUUCCACAAUGGGCGAAAGCCUGAUGGAGCAACGCCGCGUGGGUGAAGAAGGUCUUCGGAUCGUAAAACCCUGUUGUUAGAGAAGAAAGUGCGUGAGAGUAACUGUUCACGUUUCGACGGUAUCUAACCGGAAAGCCACGGCUAACUACGUG
rnacentral:rRNA from 1 species